rnacentral:lncRNA from 1 species
GUGACAGCGUUAGAAUCAAUGAAUAUAUUCCCAGCGUGCACACUGUCAGAUUGUAACACUAGUAAAAGUAAGAAUAAUACCAAGUAGCACAUCUAAAGUGAUGCAUGACAGAAAUUUCUAUUUCCGAAGUGGGUUUUUAUCAUGGGACAAGAUAGAAUCUUUUAGGCACAGGGAAAAAUAUAAAUGAACAAUCUUUCAGCACAUGAGAUUUACUUUAAAGAGUCAUAGUAAGGCUGUAAUAAAUGUGGAGUGGCUAUCUCUUUCAUGACAAUCAAAAAAAAUGAGUGUUAGUCUGGUGAGAACAAAACCGAUGACUCAUGUGUAGAACUAAGUAUGGAGAUAAAUACCUUCACAUCUCUAUUGAUAGUUCAGCUUCAAGAACAACCUAAUUGACAUUACAAUCGGUAAAUAUAACCAUUAUUAUUUCUUUUCUAUUCUUAUUUGGUUUGUUUAUCUAACGUGUCAAAUCAUAAAAUUAUAAAUAGAAAAAUACUUUAUGACAAGUUACAAACUAUGCACGUGAGUCGCAGUACUUGCAGAAUAAUAUAUUAAAGAUACUCGGAGAAUAUAUCUACAAAAUAUGCCAUAUGGUUCUAGUGUGAUGGGAUAUAAAAGAUACCUCUCACUUUGAAAAAAAAAUAUUACGUCGUCAUCUAAUAGCUACAAAUUCCAUUCCGGAUAAAGUUCAUAUACAACCAAAAUUUAAUGAAGACAUCAACUUCUAAUAGUUAAUAAAACAACAAACUAAUGCAGUUAGCACCAUUCUACACAAAUCGAUGGCAACAAUAACAAACUCUACAUGUAACAACCAAUGAUUAAAUCAUCAUUAGUCUUUACUAUCAUAAUCUUGGAGUGAAUCAUACCAAAUUACAGGACCUGAACAAUGACGCAAAUAAUGAGAAGAUCUAAAGACUACCCUCAAAACUAGCAGCAAUCUCUUUAAAUUUGUUCAGUAAUUUCUUACUUAGGAUCUAACUUCAGAAGUGACAAUUAAAUCUCACGAUUCCACAAACAUUCACUGCCAUGUAUAAUUCAUAUAAUCCAGAAAUUUUACAAAUUAAGUAUACAACAUAAAAUCCCAGAAACUAUACUUCCAUCAAUCUAUUGAUCAUUUGAAUGUCAAUUGAACACCAAAAAUUGACUCCACCAACAAGUAGAAUUGAUCAGAAACAUAAUUAUAUACAAAACACAAUUUGCCUAUAAAUUUUUUUUAUAUAAACGCUUACUCAUAAAUUAUACAGUAAAAAAAUGAUCUGAUAAUGAGAUUACUACAAAAGAACAGUACCAACUAGGGUUUUGAACACCAUAGGGAAUUUCCGCCCGAAUGAUAGAACUGAAAUGAAGAACAGAAGAUUGGUCUUUAUACAAAGAGAAAACCUCGAGCAAAUCCCUCGACUACUCCGCAGCUGAUCAAAUCCACAUCGUUAAUAUUGAAACAGAAACAAACAAAUCGAUAUCUUCUAGGCUAGGUUCCAACUUCUAAUACCAGGGGCUUGCAAAAAUCCCGGUAUUUUCCGUAAAUUAUCCCGGUUGAGUAUUAAUUUUUUUCCCGGUACUGUAACUACUGUUUAUCAUUAUUUUAAAGAGUAUAAUUUAUGAGCAAACCUUUACUUAUAAUAUUUUAUAUGAGCAUUUAUUCAUCAAUUGUAUCGUUAAGAGAGUAAAAAAAAUUAGAGAGAAAUUUUUUAAGGGUGUUG